AUGGCUCUUAGUCCGCUUAGAUUUCUUCUGACCAUGCCAGCCACAGGGCUCUCUUGCUCCCUCCAGCUGCUGCAGAGCAGGCAACCUUCCAGGGCUUCCGGUGUCGGCUCUCCCCGCUUCCUGCCACGUGUCCAGCAUCACAGGAAAUCCGGCCUCCUGCGCCCUCACCCGCUUGGACUUCCUUGUCUCUCAGGGCAGGGCCGGGACACGCAUUUAGCACAAGUUAUCUGUUUCGUUUUAAAAUGUGAAAUGACUUCCAUCCUUCAUGACUGUGCUCUUCAGACCCAGAGAACAGGACGGACGUUCCCGCCCAGCCUUAUGACUCCGCUUUCUAAUCUAGAUGGUGACUGGAAGCCAUUUCUCAGCUCGUCCUUGUGGCCUGCAAUAGAAACAGGGAAUUUCUCAGAGGCACAGCUGGCCCAAGUGGCAAAGUCUUAAAGGGGAUCCUGGUGCCACCCCCGGACUGCAGAGUAAGCUGGAGUGCAGAGGGGAGGGGAGAAAGCACCGUAUAUUUACUGAUGAUAGGGCUCAAGCUGGUGUGGGGCUUGGCUCAGGGACGUUGCUCCAAAACUCCAAGAAAGAAAAAAGAAAAGGUUUCAUUCAGUCCUCACAACAAGCUUGCAAGUAAAGUGAUCUCGUUUGAUAUCGAGGACACUCAUCCUCAAUGAAGUUGACAACUCACCCGAGGGUUCAAAGGUCACGGUGGAAACCAAUUAUUUCAGCCCCUUCUUCCCUGGUUUCCUUUCCUUCCCCAAAUCCAGCUACAAAGAAAUGAUGAAAACGACAAUUUACUCAUCAUAAAAGUAGAAGAUAACAUGGCUUAACCAAGUUACGGAGAUUAGUCGAAGAAAGCCAGGAAGAGCAGCUGUCCUUGUAUUAAUACUAUGAUCAACGUCUGCAGUGCUCACGUGGCCUGAAAUCAACGUGCACAAACCCUUUCCCAUGGGAGCCCUGAGAGAAGCCUCUGGAGACUCGUACUUGGCUGCCACAUGGCACGCUGAUUUGAUUGUGACCCCGGGAAAAGCCCUUCAUCUCCUUUGGAAUUUGCUGACCCUUGUUUGUGGGUCUCACCUUGAGCCUUUGAAAGGGGAUCUAAGGCCCCAGAUAGCUUUUCUUUUGUGAGGGUCGGUUUCGGUGGGGAAACAUCCGUAAUUUGAAGAGUGGUGUAAAAUGAAUAGAAUAACAUCUAGCAUCUUCUAGUUAUUCAGUAAAUAUCUGUUGAAUAACAAAAUGCAUACUACUUGACCAUUUAAAAAAAAAAAUGUGGAUAGUUGAAUUGGGAGAAUGCACAGCUGGUUAUCUAAGUGACCACUGGGUGUCACUGUUUACCCAUUGACCGACCAUCAUUUUUUUUUUUUUUUUUUUUUUUCUCUCACCUGGUCAGGACAAAAGCCUCUGGAAGCUGGUCCAGAUGCAGAGAUUUCAAGUUUGUUUCUUAUAAGUAACCUGUUAUCUCAGGAGGAAAAAGGGUGAUUCCUGUGUUAUUCACUUCAGGAUAUUUUCUGCAUUCUGUAAUUCAGAUGGAGAGCUGUGUUUUCUGUUUCUUCAUCUCCCUUUUGUCCUCCUAAAGAAGUUUUCUUUUGCUAACAAAAACAAGAGUUUUUAUUUUGCAAUUUAUCUUGAAAAUAGGAACGCUGGUGUGAACAUUAGUUGGUACAAGACGGCAGGGUUUCAUAUGUAACUUUAAUAGGAAACUAUUGCAGGUGCUGAAAGUAAAUUCUCACCUUGUCAGGCUCAGUGGAUCGUGAUUGUUGUUGCAGUGAGCUUCCUGGAAAUAGAGGCCGUUCUCACUCUCUGGUGAAAGCAUAGAUUGGGCUUCAAAGGCCACCUCCACUGUUCUGAUCUUUGGCCUCUAAGGUGAUGCUCAACAUCUUUGAUCCUCAGAGUUCUUUGCCCCCCAGCAGGGCUUGUGACCCCACUCCCGGGGCUGCUGGGAAGUACCAAGUUCAAAUUCAAAAUUUCUUGUUUUCCUCUUUAGGGGUGUUCUGCUAACAUCAGAGCUGAUGGGUCUUGAAGGAAUGUUGUGUUUCCUCUGCUCUUCCCUUUGUGAUGUAAUUUACCCAUUCUUUAUAACACAGUCUAAUAUGGGUUGGGCCAAAUAGCUGGAAUUCCUAAGUCAGAAGUUUUCUCUGAAAGGCACGUAAUUGACUCACUUGUCCAUGUCUGUGGAUUUCACUGCUGCACCAAGAGGACCUAGAAAACAGCCAUCUUAAGACCUGAAGAGGCCUCAGAAUUUAUCCAGUUUAGUUUUUUUUUUGGAUGCAUUUUACUCUUUCUUCAACAUUCCAUAGAGGGCUAUAAAACCUUACAAGUGGGAGGUCUUAACAUUUCCCCAUAAGACCAAUGAUGUGAGUACAACCUGCAGAAAACAAAAAGAAUCCAAUUAGACAGUCCCUGGCCACUCCUUUCUCAGCCCUCCUUUCCUGCCCACACCUCCCCUGCAGGAGCUCUGCUAAUUCCUCACUGUAUCUUGGUAUCCUCUCCUUUAAAGGGAGAAGAAAAAGAGAUGUUUCCUGAAUCGAAUGCAUUCCAGGCUGAUGAAGAGUGAUGGCUACCAUUACUUGACUUCUUUCUCUGCGCAGGACUUGUGUUCAGUUUUUUAUUUUCACAAUGUCAUUUAAUUCUCACUACAGUCCCAUGAGAUGCUCCAAGUUUUCCCUAAUUUACAGAUGAGAAAACUGGAGCACCAAUGGAGGUUAAAUGGCCUGCACAAAAUCACCCCACUAACACCUGGCGAUUUCUGAUUCCCUUGCUUUUUAAAAAUUGAUACACGAUAUUUUAUGUACUUAUGGGGUAUAUGUGAUAUUUUGUUACAUGCAUAGAAUUCGCAGUGAUCAAGUCAAGGUAUUUGGGGUGUCCAUCACGUCAAGUACUGACCAUUUCUAUGUCUUGGGAACAUUUCAAGUCCUUUUUCCCAGUUACUUUGAAAUAUACAUUGUUGUUAACUAUAGUCACCCACUCUGAAUUGAACAUUGGAACUUACACCUUUUGUCUAACUGUAUGUUUACACCCAUUGACUCAUCUCUGUUCUCACUCCCACCCAUACACCCUUCCCACCCACACAUCCUCCCACCCACACACCCUUCCCACCCACGCAUCUUCCCACCCACACACCCUUCCCACCCACACAUCCUCCCACCCACACACCCUUGUGAGCCUCUGGUAUCCAUCAUUCUAUUCUCGACCUCCAUGAGAUCAAUUUUUUUUUUUUUUAAUAGUUCCCACAUUUGAGUGAGAACUCGGGAUAUUUGUCUUUCUGUGCCUGGCUUAUUUCACUUAACACAAUGACCUCCAGAGACUCCUUUGCUUUUAACCACUCACCUACUUAGGGGGAUGUUGGGUUCAGUGUUGUGGUCUGUAAUAGAGAGGGUUUUUCAGUCAGUCACUGCUUUUAGCUCAUGGUGGAGGCGUUUGGAGCCACAUGGAACUAGACCUGACUAUCAGCUGCAAGAACAGGAGGAUUUCACUCAAUUUCUCUUUUGCUCCUGAAAACAUUUCUCUAGAUGCCUCAUUUAUCCGCAUGUGGCUAUUGCACAUUGUAUGUGAUACGGUUUGGCUGUGUCCCCACCCAAAUCUCAUCUUGAAUUGUAAUAAUCCCCACAUGUCAAGGAGGGUGGUCAGGUGGAGGUAAUUGAAUCAUGGGGGCAGUUUCCUCCAUACUGUUCUUGUGUUUGUGAAUAAAUCUCAUGAGACCUGAUGGUUUUAUAAAUGGGAGUCCCCUGCACACGGUGUCUCUUGCCUGUGGCCAUGUAACAUGUGACUUUGUUCCUCCUUUGCCUUCCGCCAUGAUUGUGAGGGUUUCCCAGCCAUGUGAAACUGUGAGUCUAUUAAGCCUCCUUCCUUUAUAAAUUAUCCAGUCUCAGGUAUGUCUUUAUUAGCAGCGUGAGAACAGACAAAUGCAGUAUGCCUGUGUCAAAGUCUCUCAUAUACCCCAUAAAUAAAUGCACUUACUGUGUACCCACAAAUACUAAAAAUGAGAUUUUUAAAAAAGAUUUCUUCAGCAGCUGUGGUUGGCUGGGCACUGUGCUAGCUGAAGGCAUCUUUACCUUCCCCCUUGCUUAGCUUCAUGGAGACCAUGAGUCCCC
rnacentral:lncRNA from 1 species